rnacentral:rRNA from 1 species
UAUGUCCAGACCACCCUGAAUGUGCCCAAUCUUUCUCUGACCUCAGAAGCCAUGCAGGGUUGGGCUUGGGUGGUGCUUGGAUGGCAGAUUUGUGUGACUCAAAGUGAAAACUUUC